GAGAUGGUGGGGGUACAGUAACAAAGUAUGUGACACACACUGAGUAUGGAUAAAUGGGGGAGAGAUGGUGGGGGUACAGUAACAAAGUAUGUGACACACACUGAGUAUCCCCAUCAUCUCUCCCCCAUUUACCUAUACUCAUUGUGCGCCACAUACUUUGUUACUGUACCCCCACCAUCUCUCCCAUUUUCCCCACACUCGGUGUGAGUCCUUUACUUUGUUACUGUAUCCCCCACCAUCUCUCCCCAUUUACCCAUACUCAGUGUGCGUCACAUAUUUGUUACUGUACCCCCACCAUCUC